UGAAUACGAGACGCUAAGGCGUCGAAGUAGUGUAUGUCAUACUUCCAAGAAAAGCUUGCACUGUCAUAGAUAAAAAACGCCUGUACCAUAACCGACACAGGUGGGUAGGUAGAGUAUACUAAGGGGCGCGAGAUAACUCUCUCUAAGGAACUCGGCAAAAUAACUCCGUAACUUCGGGAGAAGGAGUGCCUUAUUAUUAAGGCUGCAAUAACAAGAUCCAAGCAACUGUUUAUCAAAAACACAGGUCUCCGCUAAGUCGUAAGACGAUGUAUGGGGGCUGACGCCUGCCCAGUGCCAGAAGGUUAAAGAAGUUGGUUAGCAUUUGCGAAGCUGAUAACUGAAGCCCUGGUGAACGGCGGCCGUAACGAUAACGGUCCUAAGGUAGCGAAAUUCCUUGUCGGGUAAGUUCCGACCCGCACGAAAGGCGUAAUGAUUUGGAUACUGUCUCGGAGAGGGGCUCGGUGAAAUAGACUUGUCUGUGAAGAUGCGGACUACCUGCACCAGGACAGAAAGACCCUAUGAAGCUUUACUGUAACUUGAAAUUGAAAUUGGACUUUAUUCGCGCAGCAUAGGUGGGAGGCGUUGAUUAUAAUCUUGUGGGAUUAUUGGAGCCAUCAGUGAGAUACCACUCUUGUAAUGUUAGAUUUCUAACUUUGAAUCAUUAUCUGGUCAAAGAACAGUUUCAGGCGGGCAGUUUGACUGGGGCGGUCGCCUCCUAAACGGUAACGGAGGCGUACAAAGGUUUCCUCUGAACGGUUAGAAAUCGUAUCUAGAGUGUAAAGGCAUAAGGAAGCUUGACUGUGAGACCUACAAGUCGAGCAGGGACGAAAGUCGGUCUUAGUGAUCUGACGGUACUGAGUGGAAAGGCCGUCACUCAACGGAUAAAAGUUACUCUAGGAUAACAGGCUGAUCUCCCCCAAGAGUUCACAUCGACGGGGAGGUUUGGCACCUCGAUGUCGGCUCAUCGCAUCCUGGGGCGGUAGUACGUCCCAAGGGUUGGGCUGUUCGCCCAUGAAAGCGGUACGCGAGCUGGGUUCAGAACGUCGUGAGACAGUUCGGUCCAUAUCCGGUGUAGGCGUUAGAAUAUUGAGAGGAGCCUUCUUUAGUACGAGAGGACCGAGAAGGACAUACCUCUGGUGUACCAGUUAUCGUGCCAACGGUAAACGCUGGGUAGCUAUGUAUGGAGUGGAUAACCGCUGAAAGCAUCUAAGUGGGAAGCCCACCUCAAGAUAAG
rnacentral:rRNA from 1 species